GGGUCAGUAGGUUGGUCGUGCCACCGGUACGUACUGGUCUCACUGAUUUCUCCUUCCUGAAGAACCGUAAUGCCAUUAAUUUGGUGUUGCGGGGAAACAGGACUGAUACUUUGAAAAAAUUAGAGUGUUUAAAGCAAGCUAACGCUUGAAUACAUUAGCAUGGAAUAAUGAAAUAGGACGAUCGAUCCUAUUUUGUUGGUUUCUAGGAUUGACGUA
rnacentral:rRNA from 1 species